rnacentral:misc_RNA from 1 species
UCUCCGUUGGUGAACCAGCGGAGGGAUCAUUAUCGAGUUUAUAACUCCCAAACCCUAUGUGAACUUACCACUUGUUGCUUCGGCGCGCGCUUCGGCGCCGCCGAGGACACUUAAACUCUUUAUUUUUAUAAGCAUUUCUGAGUGGCCGAAAGGCAAAAUACAAAUGAAUCAAAACUUUCAACAACGGAUCUCUUGGUUCUG